rnacentral:rRNA from 1 species
UACGUAGGGUGCAAGCGUUAAUCGGAUUUACUGGGCGUAAAGCGUGCGUAGGCGGCUAUGUAAGACAGAUGUGAAAUCCCUGGGCUUAACCUAGGAACUGCAUUUGUGACUGCAUUGCUGGAGUGUGGUAGAGGGAGAUGGAAUUCCGCAUGUAGCAGUGAAAUGCGUAGAUAUGCGGAGGAACACCAAUGGCGAAGGCAAUCUCCUGGACCUGCACUGACGCUCAUGCACGAAAGCGUGGGGAGCAAACAGG